UUAUCAACAUAAUUCAAGUCCGAACUUGUUGCAGCCAGGCGGUGAGUGUAUGAGUGAGUGUGAAUGACGACAUGCUGGGGGAACUGGGAAGGGCUGGGAGGAGAUAUCAGCAGGACUGUUCAUGUUUUCUAUAGUGGCUGAAUCUCUCUCUUCUGGUCACUAAUGUGCUGAAAUGCGUAUCUGGGAAAUAGUCUUGUAAUGAUGAUGGUUAUCCCCUUUUCUCCCUCUAUUAGGCAGCAAAACGGUGAUCGGCUUGGACGGGGCAGGACCUACAGUCACUGGCACUAAGAUUGCCUCAAUCCAGAGCUAAGGCCAUUUUGCAGUCCUCGAGAACCACCCCCACUGGCCCCACACCCCCGGGCUUGCUCAAAUGCCAACUCCUCUUGCCAGGCAGGGGGUGGGCAGGCCAUGUCAAGAUGUUAUAGCCAUGUAAAGUGCUAUCACCGUGCAGCCCCUAGGACACUGAUGCAUUGUCUGGUGAGGUCUGAGCCCAUCUGGAGCUAAGGAUUGUUGGGGCAGGUGCCUCUGACGGACGGGCACUGCAAAGAGCUUCUUGGAGCCUCGGAUAUCUUUAAAAAUGGGACUGCCCCCAGAAGGAAUCAGACACGUUAAUAAACCACAGCCACAGUUGUUAACUCCUGACAGGGCUUCACAAUGAGAAGAGGAAAUGGUCAGGUUUAAGGACUGGCCCUGGGAAGUCCUCUGGAUCAAAUUCCCUUGUGGCUUUGGCUUUGCCUAUAAAAUUCCCUAAAGCACAGCUGAGCAGAGAUUCAUCCAGGCCCACU